GGAGGGUGCAAGCGUUAUUCGGAAUCACUGGGCGUAAAGAGCGCGUAGGCGGUUUCUAAAGUCAGAUGUGAAAGCCCGGGGCUCAACCCCGGAAGUGCAUUUGAAACUUAGGGACUUGAGUAUGGGAGAGGGAAGUGGAAUUCCUGGUGUAGCGGUGAAAUGCGUAGAUAUCAGGAGGAACACCGGUGGCGAAGGCGACUUCCUGGACCCAAUACUGACGCUGAGGCGCGAAGGCGUGGGGAGCAAACAGGAUUAGAUACCCUGGUAGUCCACGCAGUAAACGUUGAACACUAGGUGUAGCGGGUAUUGGACCCCCUGCUGUGCCGCAGCUAACGCAUUAAGUGUUCCGCCUGGGGAGUACGGCCCGCAAGGCUA
rnacentral:rRNA from 1 species